rnacentral:lncRNA from 1 species
CCGCGUCCUAUUGGCGGCCGCUCGGAGUCCAGCCAAUCCCGGCGCGGGCCGCGGGGCAUUGUGGGGGCUGUAGUCUCGCGGCGCCUCCCGCCGGACCGGGAGCACGAGGCGCGGCGACCGAGUUCAGACGCGGCGCGGCGGGAUGGCUGAACGAGGGGGCCAGGCCGAGGGGGCCAGGCCACCAAGGAGGCCGCACCGGGCGGGCGGAGCCGCCUCAGGUUCGCAGUGAAAAGGCAGCGAACGGGCCUGUGACUGAGCGUCCUCGGCGCUGAGGAAGACGACGACGGCGCGAUGCGGGAGAGAAGCUGGGCCCGGGGGGCGCUCCUCUCAGGGGAGGAGGCGGUGGAGGAGGAAAUUCGUGCGAGGCCCCAGAGGCGGGAGAAGGAGGCCGAGGGUCCAGCUCGGAGAGCGUGAGGGAGCAGAGCGGACCGGAGGCGAGCGGCCAGGGCCGUGCCAGCAGGAGGGCGGGAAACGGUGCUCAGCGUCCAGGAGACACGCCACGUGCCGGGGCGUCGUGUUCACGCCUGUCUAGCUGGGUCACAGGACGCGGUGAGCGGAGAUGUGCCGACAUUGAUCUGCCAAAGUGCGCCCCAAGCGGACUUUGGGAUCUGGAACUGGGGCACCCCCUGCGGUGUCCCAAGGAAGAAAGAACAGGGGAAAAAAAAAAAAAAAAAGGAGGAUCUCGGAACGCAGGAACUGGAAAAGUCCUUCUUCCCCCCUGUUGUAGCCAUUAAGGAAUUUCAGGUCCUCCUGAGCAGUAUAACCUGUGUCCCCUUCUACCCCGGGGAUUCUGGUGCAAGCUGUUUAUUGGCAGACUACCUCAGGAGAAAGCCGAGAUGCCAUCAAAUCUGUGACGCUCUCUGCAACCCCACAGUGGAGGACAUCUUUGCAGUAGCCGUGGACAUGGUUGACAAGGACCGUCCCCGAAGCACAGCCUGGUCAGCGUCCAGAGCACCACCUGCCCUUCACCACCAUCUGAAUGUCCGGGCAGCCUCCCCACUGCCCCGCCCUGGUAGACUCCGGUGGUUGGGGGAACCUCCUCUAUCCAGCCUCCUCUUUCCACGGGGAGAAACAGGCAUUAGCGUGACACUCAGGUAGGAGUUCCCGUGGAGACUCUCUCCCCUCGUCUCUGAGGUCGGCCUGCCCGCUCAGAGCGCGCGCUUCCCACGUGGAGGACUCGGCUGAGAGUCUGGGUCGGUGGAGGAUGGAGGCGCUUCCCAUCUGCCUGCCUGGCAGGGUGGACGUCGAGGUGUCAGGCCUGGGCUAGCGGCAU